UCCCUCUCAGGAUUGCAGCUGGAGAGUUUCCAGUACUCUACCAGUCUUGGCUAUAGGAGGGAGAGUCAAGCAGAGGCCUACCCGUUCCAUUUGCAGCUUGGACAGUGGCUAGUGAGUGGAAGACAAUCAGCUACAAGU